UCUCUCAUCACGUGCUUGCUCAUGCUCAACUCAAGCUGAACACACAUAAGGCCUAUCAAAAGCAAUUGACUACAGUUCAUUUUAUUUAACAAAAUUUUCAAACAAGAAAAUCCAGGCAUUUUCAUUUGAAAUAUUGUUUUUCUAUCAGUUGUUGCCAUCAUUAAAUGUAUCUUAUAUAUGUACAUAUAUCUGUACGUAUGACUAAGUCACAUAGCCGACUAAGCGGACGCGAUGCCAAUUCAGAUUUCAAUACGAUAGGAACCAGUUACUUUUAAAUUUGAAAACCAAGUCAUCUGAGUGAGUACUAUCCCAAGGAAUCAUUUGUUCAUGUAAAAAUGUGCUUGCAUAAAAUUUCCUAAAGCAAUUUCCUGAAAUAUCGAUAAAGACCGAAGAACUCGAUGAAAACAUUUUAUCGCACAAUGUUUUUUUGUGUGUUGGAUGUGCUUUGAAAUGACAGAUAUUCCUUUUCAAUUUAGGACCGCCUCUCAAGAUGUGCACGAUCAUGUCAGGAUAAAAUAUAGGACAAAAAUUACAAGAAGAGAUGAAGGUUUGUGUAGAUGAAUGUUGUGAUACACAUUGUAAGCUUCUACCCAAAAUGUUUCAAAGAAUGAGUGAAACAUUUUGUCGAUUACAGCAGAAUUGAUUAAAGAUUUUUCUUCAUAUGAAAUAUUGGUAACUUUUAAACAGAAAAUAUGAUCGUGUUCAAACAUAUUUAGUGUAAAUAACUUUUAAAACUUUAUUGAAUAAUGAUUUGGUACUCAAAAAGUGACGUCAACAUCACCAAAUUUCCACAGUCAUGAACAGUGGAGUCUGUUGAAAAUUUCGAAAUAUUCCUUUAUGAUUUGAUAAGCCUGCUAGCAAACGGCAUUUUGGUUAUGAGCAAUAUAACUUGUCAGUGUUGGAAAAUUAGGCCUCAAAAAAUACAGAAAAGAUUACUACAAUGUAAAGCAUUGUAUUAUCUCACAAAUAAUGACAAAUUGUUACAUUCCGUACACUAAAACUAUCAUAUGCUGUUUUAAGUAUUUCUUAAAGAAUUGCUUGGUGUUAGUGUCUCAGUUAAUCAAUCACAUAGCCAACUAAACGAA